AACGAACGCUGGCGGCAGGCUUAACACAUGCAAGUCGAACGCCCCGCAAGGGGAGUGGUAGACGGGUGAGUAACGCGUGGGAACAUACCCUUAUCUUCGGAACAACUCCGGGAAACUGGAGCUAAUACCGAAUGUGCCCUUAGGGGGAAAGAUUUAUCGGAUAAGGAUUGGCCCGCGUUGGAUUAGCUAGUUGGUGGGGUAAAGGCCUACCAAGGCGACGAUCCAUAGCUGGUCUGAGAGGAUGAUCAGCCACAUUGGGACUGAGACACGGCCCAAACUCCUACGGGAGGCAGCAGUGGGGAAUAUUGGACAAUGGGCGCAAGCCUGAUCCAGCCAUGCCGCGUGAGUGACGAAGGCCUUAGGGUUGUAAAGCUCUUUUGCCGGGGACGAUAAUGACGGUACCCGGAGAAUAAGUCCCGGCUAACUUCGUGCCAGCAGCCGCGGUAACAC
rnacentral:rRNA from 1 species